UUCCAUCCCUCUGAGUCGUUGCUCAUCAAUCAUACUGGGAAGCUGACUUUUAUUCUGCACACUUCACCACUAACUGCAUUACAGAGCUGAAAAACUUACUCAAAGUUUAGAAUGUGAUAAACGUAAUCAAAUUGCUCUAGUCAAAUUCUAACAGUGGUGAAUAGAUGACACUAAUUACCUUUUGUUAUUAUGCUACAAAUGUGGUUUACUCCAUCUUUAUUCAUGAAGAAAUAUCAUACAGCCCACUGAGAGGACUGCAGCAGGAUGUAAUAUUGGUUUAUUUGUUUCCUUAGUUUUACUUCUUUCUUUACCAGCAUCCAAGAGAUGAAAUUUUAAGCUGCAAUAUAUUUAUAUGCGGUAGUUUUUUACCCACUUUGGAAGAUAAUUGUUACCCACUGCAAAGCCUCACAAUUCUGCAUAAACAAGUGCUUUCAAAACUCCAGUAAAAUGAUACUUACUUUUGUUUCAGAGUAAGUGACAUAUUGUUUUUAAAUGAGUUAACACAGAAAGAAAUGGAGCAUGUGCUAAGAAAUGCAUUGAGAUGAGAGAAAUUGAACCACUUUUUUUGGAAAAAAAUGUGGAACUAUGCUACCUUUAAAGUUUUUUCUACAUUUUUACAUGUGGAAAUUUCUCAGUAAUUCACCUUGAAACUAGUUUAUAGGAAAUAAUUAUUCAAACUUGCUUACAUGUUGUCUGGUUGAAAUAAUUUACAUACCUAUUUCCAGUGGUCAUAGUAGAGCCAAGUUUCAAAAACCUGUCACCAGAUGAUUACAUAUGCAUUCUAUACAUCAAAUGCUGUACUAGGCACAAUUAUCUGUGAAUGCUUCUGUUUCCAUUUGUCAGAUAACCAGAAACCUUGCAAGGUUCAGCCAACCUAAAUAUUUUCUCAUGAGUCCGUAAGGCUUACUUAGGAUACUAAAGGUUAGGUUAUUAAAGUAAUAAGCAGAAGUAUGCCUAUAACAUCUUAAAUACAAUAGAAUAUUAAUUGAUUUUAGAACCAUUAAAUUCUUAACAUACCAAUGGAAAGUAUAUCUGAAGUUC
rnacentral:lncRNA from 1 species